rnacentral:tRNA from 1 species
CUGGGUGUGGCGCAGUUGGGAGCGCAGGAGUUUCGGGAACUCAAGGUCGUAGGUUCAAUUCCUACCACUCAGA